rnacentral:rRNA from 1 species
AACGAACGCUGGCGGCGUGGUUCAGGCAUGCAAGUCGAACGAUCUCGCAAGAGAUAGUGGCAGAAGGGUGCGUAACACGUGGGUAAUCUACCCUCGAAUUGGGGAUAACCCAUCGAAAGAUGGGCUAAUACCGAAUGACAUUACCGGAUCAUAAGGUUUGGUAAUUAAAUGUGGCUCGCAAGAGCUGCGGUUUGAGGAGGAGCCCGCGGCCUAUCAGCUAGUUGGUGAGGUAACGGCUCACCAAGGCUUUUGACGGUAGCUGGUCUAAGAGGACGGUCAGCCACAUUGGGACUGAGACACUGCCCAGACUCCUACGGGAGGCUGCAGUCGAGGAUCUUUAGCAAUGCCCGAAAGGGUGACUAUGCGACGCCGCGUGGAGAUGAAGGCCUGG